AGUGAACACUGGCGGUAGGCCUAACACAUGCAAGUCGAACGGCAGCACAGUAAGAGCUUGCUCUUACGGGUGGCGAGUGGCGGACGGGUGAGGAAUACAUCGGAAUCUACUUUUUCGUGGGGGAUAACGUAGGGAAACUUACGCUAAUACCGCAUACGACCUACGGGUGAAAGCAGGGGAUCUUCGGACCUUGCGCGAUUGAAUGAGCCGAUGUCGGAUUAGCUAGUUGGCGGGGUAAAGGCCCACCAAGGCGACGAUCCGUAGCUGGUCUGAGAGGAUGAUCAGCCACACUGGAACUGAGACACGGUCCAGACUCCUACGGGAGGCAGCAGUGGGGAAUAUUGGACAAUGGGCGCAAGCCUGAUCCAGCCAUACCGCGUGGGUGAAGAAGGCCUUCGGGUUGUGAAGCCCUUUUGUUGGGAAAGAAAAGCAGCAGGUUAAUACCCCGCUGUUCUGACGGUACCCAAAGAAUAAGCACCGGCUAACUUCGUG
rnacentral:rRNA from 1 species